rnacentral:rRNA from 1 species
UACGUAGGGGGCAAGCGUUGUCCGGAAUUAUUGGGCGUAAAGAGCUCGUAGGCGGUUUGUCGCGUCUGCUGUGAAAACCUAAGGCUCAACCUUGGGCUUGCAGUGGGUACGGGCAGACUAGAGUGCGGUAGGGGUGACUGGAAUUCCUGGUGUAGCGGUGGAAUGCGCAGAUAUCAGGAGGAACACCGAUGGCGAAGGCAGGUCACUGG